GGAAAAAUUCAAAGUAAAUUUUUCUAGUGAGUGAGGAUCCAUUUUUCACCAUCUUCCUAAAUUAGCUUUGGCUUUUCUUUUAGGAGAAUGGUUAUUUAGGUAAGUAACACCUUACUAAUUACAUCAAAUGUAACUCCUCCAUUUGGUGA